rnacentral:tRNA from 1 species
AGCAAUUUAUCAAUGGUUUAGUACUCGGCUGCUAACUGAAAAGCUGGUGGUUCAAACCCACCAAUGGCUC